CGGCGGCGUGGGCGGCCAGGCCGCUGCCCGUGCUGCUCGUGCCCGUGCUGGUGGUGGCCGUGUGGAUGGAGGCGCCGGCCGUGUCCGUGGCCGCCGCC
rnacentral:tRNA from 1 species